GUCGUAUUUGUAGUAAAUUAUAUGGCGCGUCAACAUAUUGCAGUGGAAUUUUUGUCUAUUUCACUUGUUUAUGGCGCAGAUAACUGAUUUUUAAAAAUCGAAGAACAAGUGCUAUAUCUUAUUGUUUAUUUGACGGCGGAAUGAUGGUUAGAGAUUCAGAUAAUAGGGUCAGUACUGCAUCUGGAAGUCAACGAGUAUGGACUCGGCUAAUGAACCAGUUGCCUGACAGCUUUUAUACAGCUUCACUAGACGAAGUGAUAGAGAAAUUAUAUGACGCCGCUGCAGAUAGGCAACUACCAUCUGUGACUGUGUUGGAGCAAUCGUACAAUACCUGUAAAAUUAGUGGUAAGUAGAUCCUUUUUAUUGCAUGUAUAUAUAUAUAUAUAUAUAUAUAUAUAUAUAUAUAUAUAUAUAUAUAUAUAUAUAUAUAUAUAUAUAUAUAUAUAUAUAUAUAUUGUAUUGUGAUCGCCUCGGUAUUGUGUCUGAACACAUCUGGUGUGUGUAACUUAAUAUUUAUUAUAAACUGGAUUGUGCGUGACAAAAAAUAUAACAACGUUUAUAAACACAAGCAUAUUCAUAGUCUAAUAAUUCGCAAUACUCAAAAUGAUUUUGAUUUUGUUUUCAAUAGAUAGUGAUAUGUGUAAUUGGCAAUUACGGG